rnacentral:rRNA from 1 species
AUUGAACGCUGGCGGCAGGCCUAACACAUGCAAGUCGAGCGAGUGGCGGACGGGUGAGUAAUGUCUGGGGAACUGCCUGAUGGAGGGGGAUAACUACUGGAAACGGUAGCUAAUACCGCAUACCAUCAGAUGUGCCCAGAUGGGAUUAGCUAGUUGGUGGGGUAACGGCUCACCAAGGCGACGAUCCCUAGCUGGUCUGAGAGGAUGACCAGCAAAAUGGGAACUGAGAACCGGCCCAGAUUCCUACGGGAGGAAGAAGUGGGGAAUAUGGAAAAAGGGGCGAAAGCCUGAUGCAGCAAUGCCGCGUGUAUGAAGAAGGCCUUCGGGUUGAAAAGUACUUUGUGCGGGGAGGCGUUACCCGAAGAAGAAGCACCGGCUAACUCCGUGCCAGCAGCCGCGGUAAUAC